GAUAAUAAAAAAUCUCAGGAGUUUGCUGCGAUCCUUUUACACGUCGAAGCCAAAACUCUCUGUCGACAGAGUCUCCGUGUUCUGAAGCUUUGAAACCAUCUCGAAGCAGAAUUUUUCUGUCUUUUCUCACCGAUCAAAAAUACAGAGAGAAAGAGUAAAGAUAUUAGGCAUGAACAUCUUCGCGAAGAAACCAAAUCCGAGAGAGGCUCUUAGGCAGAGUAAGAGAGAGAUGACACAAGCUACAAGAGCCCCUUUUUCAGGAAUCGAAAAGGAAAUCGGAUCUCUGCAGUCAGAAGAGAAAAAGCUAGUUCUCGAGAUAAAAAGAACUGCUAAAACAGGGAAUGAGGGAGCGACAAAGAUUCUUGCGCGGCAAUUGAUCAGGUUAAGGCAGCAAAUAGCUAACUUACAAGGGAGCCGAGCUCAAAUGAGAGGCAUAGCUACUCAUACACAGGCUAUGCAUGCACAUACCUCGGUUGCAGCUGGAAUCCAAGGUGCCACAAAGGCAAUGUCAGCUAUGAGCAAGAAUAUGGAUCCAGCAAAACAGGCUAAGGUUAUGAGAGACUUCCAAAAGCAGUCUGCGCAGAUGGACAUGACUACUGAGAUGAUGUCAGAUGCCAUUGAUGAUGCUCUAGACAAUGACGAAGCCGAAGAAGAAACAGAGGAUUUGACAAACCAGGUUCUCGACGAAAUCGGCAUUGAUAUCGCCUCACAGGUUUGUCUUAAGCAUCAAUACUCUUCAUUGUUCCGUCUCGUCAUUAGCUUCUCUGUGAUUGAUUCUCUAUCUCUGUUUUUAAUCCAUGUGCAGUUAUCAUCUGCUCCAAAAGGUAAAAUUGGCGGGAAGAAUGCAGAAGAUUCUAGCAGUUCUGAGAUCGAUGAACUGGAGAAGCGGUUGGCGGCGCUUAGAUAGAAAGAAGAAAUGUCUUGAACUUGAAUAUGUUUCAGACAACAAUUCAUUAUACAUUCAAAUUCAAUGUGUUUCUCCUCUCCAGCGUUUGUAGUCCAACGGUUCGAUCAAAGACAACUGUUCAAGAGAGUGAAACAGAGGAAGACAAAGACGAACUAUACCAACCAAGGAAUCGCAUCUGUCAAGAAAUGAGAUUUGUUAGGAGAAAAAGGCGUGUUGGCUGCUUCAGACGCAGUCACAGCGAGGAUCAAAGACAUGUUAUCAAUCGAUCUGGUGAAAACAGCACUUACUAGGGGACAAGGAGAACGUACAUGAACAUUAGGUUCUGUAGCAUUCUCAGAGUCUAAGACGCAAUGGAAUAACACUGGAGACGAUGGAUGCCGUUGAUUUACUAUGUAACAGAGACAAAGUUCGUUAUUUUUGAAAACCUCUCAUAAUAUCACAGCAUCUUUUUUCAUAAGAGAACUUGGGAAAACAAGCCAAAUGAUUCAACUUUUACUAAGAUGAACAUGAACUUUAGUUCGUAAAAAUAGUAUCAAGUACAUCCUAGUGAAUUCACCAUUAUUCCGCUAUUGAUUUAUCAAAAAUCUCUCUCAACCAAGAACUUGACAACAGAGAGUUCGUUCCUUCCUCGCUGCCCCUUUACCAAUUCAAGAACUCGUAACAUACAAAUGAUCAAGCUUUUAUCAAUAAUCUCUCUCAACAAAGAAUUUGACAUCAGAUAGUUAAUUUCCUUCCUCGAUGCCCCAUUCCAAUCCAAGAACUCGCCACAUCCAAAUGAUUAAACGUUUAGCAGGUCAACAGAAAACCACCAUUCAUAAGCCUCGAGAAGCAUUAAAACCAACAGAGCAUAUUCAUUCCACCAAACAUCCAUGCUACGAUUAAUCUCCAAUCUCGUGAAUAAGUAAAACAUUCUAUAUGCACAAUGCAGAACCAGGUAGGAGUAAUACGAAAACAGAAACUCAAACAACAAACCAAAAAACUCAAAUGUAUAUUUCAAAGAGGGUAAUGUAGUGAACUUGUUUAACUCCAGUCUCAUGGUUAAGAGAGAUGAAGCUGAUGAGAACACUGACAAUUUCUGAGUUUUUUCAGACUACAAGCACAAAUAUACAAGUGCAAGUGUAUAGUUUAAACUCAUGCAACAGAAUGAUCAAAUAAAACAAAGGAUGAAUAAUUAAGGGGAAAGUCUCAGUAAAAUCCAAUGAAUUCAAAGAAAUUGCAGCUUCUGCCAAGGGGUUCUCCCUGUAAACAGAGUCUCGGCUCCACUGCACCUCAUACAACUGGAUUAGAUCCUCAUCGACUAUCCAAAUUCCCAAAAAAAAAAACCAAAGGAGGAAAACAAAGUAGGAAAAAUUUAAGAUCUAGGCUCAGAUAUGAAUACAGCUUUUUCAAUCAAGAAUUAUCUGAAGCAGAACUGGCGUAUCAAGCUGUUAGAAUUAAUCAUCACUGCCAAAAACUUUGAAGACGAGAAAUCCAAAAGAAAAAAACAAGAAAUUUGGGCUCAUAGUAAGAAAUUCAACCAUGUUUUACCGUAUAUGCUUCAUUGACCUUAAUGGAUCUCAGAAGCGCGGGUAAUUUUAUAAUCAUAGCCACCAAGCAAACUCAUCCAAUAAAAAAACGAAUUACCAAAGAGAUUUAGCCGCUUUUUUGACACAGAAAAGCCGAAGGAACAAGGCGAGCCUGCAACACAAACGGCAAAAAGAAUCUAGCAGCAGCUUUGGGGCUUAGUUCCUCAUGCACUGUACUCAGAUUAGCCCGGGAGGCUCCUGCAGAGCAUGUAAUGAAACCCUAGAUAAUGGAACAACGCAAAUCUAAAGAUCCAUAAUUGUAAGAAACGGAGAGAGAGGAGGGAGACU